rnacentral:rRNA from 1 species
AAUGAACGCUGGCGGCGUGCCUAACACAUGCAAGUCGAACGAGAAAGUCCGUAAGGAUAAGUACAGUGGCGUCCGGGUGAGUAACACGUGGGAAUCUGCCCUUUGGUGAAGAAUACCCUCGAGAAAUCGAGGUUAAUACUGCAUAAGUCGGUAACGAGAAAGGUGGCCUCUUUGCUACCGCCGAAGGAUGAGCCUGCGGCCUAUUAGUUAGUUGGUAGGGUAAAGGCCUACCAAGACAAAGAUGGGUAACCGGCCUGAGAGGGUGUACGGUCACAAUGGAACUGAAACACGGUCCAUACUCCUACGGGAGGCAGCAGUGGGGAAUAUUGCACAAUGGGCGCAAGCCUGAUGCGGCGACGCCGCGUGGAGGAUGAAGGUUUUCGGAUUGUAAACUCCUGUUAAGUGGGAAAAAUACGCGACAAAUAAUAC